rnacentral:rRNA from 1 species
AGCACUCCUACGGGAGGCAGCAGUAGGGAAUUUUCCGCAAUUGGACGAAAGUCUGACGGAGCAAUGCCGCGUGAGUGAUGAAGGUUUUCGAAUCGUAAAGCUCUGUUGUAAGGGAAGAAUAGCAAGGAUAGGAAAUUGAUCCUUGUCUGACGGUACCUUACCAGAAAGCCACGGCUAACUACGUGCCAGCAGCCGCGGUAAUACGUAGGUGGCAAGCGUUAUCCGGAAUUAUUGGGCGUAAAAGCGCAUGUAGGCGGCUUUUUAAGUCUGGUGUGAAAGCCUGUGGCUCAACCACAGAAUUGCAUUGGAUACUGGAAAAGCUAGAAUCUUGGAGAGGUAAGUGGAAUUUCAUGUGUAGCGGUGGAAUGCGUAGAUAUAUGAAGGAACACCAAUGGCGAAGGCAGCUUACUGGACAAGUAUUGACGCUGAGAUGCGAAAGUGUGGGUAGCAAACAGGAUUAGAUACCCUGGUAG